GCGCAACACUGAUUGCUCUCCGGUUUUUAGGCGCUGCUCUGAGCAGCAUCACCUUAUAUAUCAGAAAGCUGGAGGGUACUAUGGGGAAGAAACAAAACAAGAAGAAAGUAGAGGAGGUGCUAGAAGAGGAGGAAGAGGAAUAUGUGGUGGAAAAAGUUAUUGACCUUCGAGUGGUAAAGGGCGAAGUGGAGUACCUCCUAAAGUGGAAGGGUUUCUCAGAUGAGGACAAUACAUGGGAGCCAGAAGAGAACCUGGAUUGCCCUGAUCUCAUUGCUGAGUUUUUACAGUCGCAGAAAACAGCACAUGAGACAGAUAAAUCAGAGGGAGGCAAGCACAAAGCUGAUUCUGAUUCUGAAGAUAAGGGAGAAGAAAGCAAACCAAAGAAGAAGAAAGAAGAGUCAGAAAAGCCAUAAGGCUUUGUCCGGGGUUUGGAGCCAGAGUGGAUUAUUGGAGCCACAGACUCCAGUGCAGAGCUCAUGUUCCUGACGAAAUGGAAAAACUCUGAUGAGGCUGACCUGGUCCCUGCCAAGGAAGCCAAUGUCAAGUGCCCACAGGUUGUCAUAUCCUUCUAUGAGGAAAGGCUGAUAUGGCAUUCCUGCCCCUCAGAGGAUUAUGACAAAAAAGAUGACAAGAAUUAACUUUCCUGAAGUACCAGCCCCUGUCACAUCUGACUGUGGGUUUCAAAUGGGGAGGGAAGGAAUUUUACUUGUCUUGAUA